rnacentral:rRNA from 1 species
CCUACGGGAGGCAGCAGUGAGGAAUAUUGGUCAAUGGACGAGAGUCUGAACCAGCCAAGUCGCGUGAAGGAUGACUGCCCUAUGGGUUGUAAACUUCUUUUAUAUGGGAAUAAAAUGUUCCACGUGUGGGAUUUUGUAUGUACCAUAUGAAUAAGGAUCGGCUAACUCCGUGCCAGCAGCCGCGGUAAUACGGAGGAUCCGAGCGUUAUCCGGAUUUAUUGGGUUUAAAGGGAGCGUAGGUGGAUGGUUAAGUCAGUUGGGAAAGUUGCGGGCUCAACCGUAACAUUGCAGUUGAAACUGGCAGUCUUGAGUACAGUAGAGGUGGGCGGAAUUCGUGGUGUAGCGGUGAAAUGCUUAGAUAUCACGAAGAACUCCGAUUGCGAAGGCAGUUCACUGGACUGCAAAUGACACUGAGGCUCGAAAGUGUGGGUAUCAAACAGGAUUAGAUACCCUAGUAGUC